rnacentral:snRNA from 1 species
UCAUUUGAUAGAAUGAGAAGUUAAUUAAUUUUAUUUUAAAAGUAUAACUAAAUAAGUGACCUCCAUUGCACUUAGGAGGAGCGCUAGCCUAAAAUCUACCCAAGUGGUGGAGCCUACAUCAUAAUUUAUUGUUGUAGGGGUCUGCGUUCGCGCGGCCCCUUU